GAUGAACGCUGGCGGCGUGCCUAAUACAUGCAAGUCGAGCGAAUGGAUUAAGAGCUGCUCUUAUGAAGUUAGCGGCGGACGGGUGAGUAACACGUGGGUAACCUGCCCAUAAGACUGGGAUAACUCCGGGAAACCGGGGCUAAUACCGGAUAACAUUUUGAACCGCAUGGUUCGAAAUUGAAAGGCGGCUUCGGCUGUCACUUAUGGAUGGACCCGCGUCGCAUUAGCUAAUUGGUGAGGUAACGGCUCACCAAGGCGACGACGGGUAGCCGGCCUGAGAGGGUGAGCGGCCAAACUGGGACUGGGACACGGCCCAGACGCCUACGGGAGGCAGAAGUAGGGAAUCUUCCGCAAUGGACGAAAGUCUGACGGAGCAACGCCGCGUGAGUGAUGAAGGCUUUCGGGUCGUAAAACUCUGUUGUUAGGGAAGAACAAGUGCUAGUUGAAUAAGCUGGCACCUUGACGGUACCUAACCAGAAAGCCACGGCUAACUACGUGCCAGCAGCCGCCGUAA
rnacentral:rRNA from 1 species